CCGAGUUGUAAUUUGCAGAGGAUGCUUCUGGCGCGGUGCCUUCCGAGUUCCCUGGAACGGGACGCCACAGAGGGUGAGAGCCCCGUAUGGUCGGACACCAAGCCUGUGUGAAGCUCCUUCGACGAGUCGAGUAGUUUGGGAAUGCUGCUCUAAAUGGGAGGUAAAUCUCUUCUAAAGCUAAAUACCGGCCAGAGACCGAUAGCGCACAAGUAGAGUGAUCGAAAGAUGAAAAAGUAGAGUGAUCGAAAGAUGAAAAGCACCUUGAAAAGGGGGUUAAAUAGUACGUGAAAUUGUUGAAAGGGAAGCACUUGUGACCAGACUUGGGCCGGGCGGCUCAUCAGGGGUUCUCCCCUGUGCACUCCGCCCGGCACAGGCCAGCAUCGGUUCUCGUGGGGGGAUAAGACCGUCAGGAACGUAGCACCCUCCGGGGUGUGUUAUAGCCUGGCGGACGAUACCCCCGUGGGGACCGAGGUUCGCGCUCCGCAAGGAUGCUGGCGUAAUGGUCACCAGUGACCCGUCUUGAAACACGGACCAAGGAGUCGUCCAUUAGAGCGAGCGUUUGGGUGUAAAACCCGCACGCGUAAUGAAAGUGAACGCAGGUGAGAGCUUCGGCGCAUCAUCGACCGAUCCUGA
rnacentral:rRNA from 1 species